GGGCAGAAUAAUCAAAGAUGUCAAACAAAGAGAUAGUAACUCUGAGCUUUAUAUAAUAGAUCAAGUUCAAAAGAGCAAAAGAAAAUCCUAUUAACUGACAGUCAUAACAGUUUCUAGUGGAAAGACAGAAGGUGGUCUAAAUAUCAGAAACCACACCCACAUUUAUAGACAUAUUAGCUGCACAAUAGACUCUCCAUUACAUUCAUGCAUCCCCUUUCAACUUAAUAAUUAAGCAUAUAUUAAUCAGCCUAGUUUAUUAAUAAAUUUCUCACCAUGGAGAGAUGUGUUCUACUGAUUCUUAUAACAGUACCAGGUAUAUUUGCUGACAGCAUUGAACCAAAAGACAAGGACAAUAUAAUCAGUAAAGAAGGAGAGUCUGUGACACUGAGCUGCACAUAUGAUACAAGCAGCAACAAUAUUUUGCUUUACUGGUACAGACAAUAUCCAAACAAAGACCCUCAAUAUUUACUGUAUAAAGGUGCUCGAUCUUGGAGCAACAAUAGGAAUACAGCAGACCGUCGGUUUCAGUCAAUUACAUCUGAAUCAUCCACUGAACUCACUACUGACAGUGUAACUCUGUCAGAUUCAGCUCUCUAUUACUGUGCUCUGAGAGUUGAAGCCCAGUGAUACAAAAUGCCUGAGAGGCUUUACAAAAACUCACACCCAAACUAAUUGCUUUGAACUGUAUUU